AGGUGGGGUAACGGCUCACCUAGGCGACGAUCCCUAGCUGGUCUGAGAGGAUGACCAGCCACACUGGAACUGAGACACGGUCCAGACUCCUACGGGAGGCAGCAGUGGGGAAUAUUGCACAAUGGGCGCAAGCCUGAUGCAGCCAUGCCGCGUGUAUGAAGAAGGCCUUCGGGUUGUAAAGUACUUUCAGCGGGGAGGAAGGGAGUAAAGUUAAUACCUUUGCUCAUUGACGUUACCCGCAGAAGAAGCACCGGCUAACUCCGUGCCAGCAGCCGCGGUAAUACGGAGGGUGCAAGCGUUA
rnacentral:rRNA from 1 species